AGCAGUAGCCACGGUAAGACGAACCGUGCGAACGUUAUUCGGAAUCACUGGGCUUAAAGCGCGUGUAGGCGGGAGGGCACGUCCGUCGCUGAAAUCCCCCGGCUCAACCGGGGAACGGGCGCGGAUACGACUCUUCUGGAGGAACGUAGGGGGACCUGGAACUUCCGGUGGAGCGGUGAAAUGCGUUGAGAUCGGAAGGAACGCCCGUGGCGAAAGCGAGGUCCUGGACGUUUACUGACGCUGAGACGCGAAAGCCAGGGGAGCGAACGGGAUUAGAUACCCCCGUAGUCCCUGUCUCUUAUA
rnacentral:rRNA from 1 species